AUGCUUACCUGGUGACGGAACUUCGCUGAUCCGGACGGCCGGGCUCCCAGGGUGAGGCACGUGCAUUGCACUGCGCUCGUGUUGACCCCUGCCCCUUCCCCAAACUGGGGUAGAUGGGGCAUGCAGUUUUUCGUAAGGGGGGGGACUGCGCGCGCGCUUUCCCCCC
rnacentral:snRNA from 1 species